GUCUAUGAUGGUAUUCAGCACCAAGGACAGGUGUGUUACCUGUGUGUGGAUGGUGUUCAGUACCAAGGACAAGCAUGUUUUCCU
rnacentral:pre_miRNA from 1 species